UCGUAGCCUUUAUAGGAAAUGUUCCUUGUGC
rnacentral:piRNA from 1 species